UUAGGCUCUUUUUGAGCCAACAGGAAAAAUCUCUCCUGAGACCAUCUAAUGAUAUGGGUAAGAACAACAGCUCAUUUCCAGGCAGACAUGUGAUUCAACUUCUGAGGUCAGAGUGGCCAAGUGCAGCAACAGUCAUCAAAAUAAAAGAUGCUUUGUAACACUCCAUAGUCUCCCUAUCCAAAAAUUUUACCCACAGAAGGAGCCAGAAUGUUUCAAAAGACACCCAUUGUAUAACUGCACUGCUUCUUGGAUGAUCUGCCCAAAGAAGAAGUUUCUAGCAGAUCCUGGGAGCUGCUAGAAAAAUAAUCCUGUU
rnacentral:lncRNA from 1 species